UACGUAGGGCGCAAGCGUUGUCCGGAAUUAUUGGGCGUAAAGAGCUCGUAGGCGGUUUGUCGCGUCUGCUGUGAAAACUCGAGGCUCAACCUCGGGCUUGCAGUGGGUACGGGCAGACUAGAGUGCGGUAGGGGGUGACUGGAAUUCCUGGUGUAGCGGUGGAAUGCGCAGAUAUCAGGAGGAACACCGAUGGCGAAGGCAGGUCACUGGGCCGCAACUGACGCU
rnacentral:rRNA from 1 species